GGCCAUAUAGCUCAGUGGUAGGGCAUGUGCUUAGCGUGCACCAGGUCCUGGGUUCAAUCCUCAGUUCCUCCG
rnacentral:tRNA from 1 species